UAAGGAAUAUUGCUCAAUGGGAGAAAUCCUGAAGCAGCAACGCCGCGUGGAGGAUGAAGGGUCUAUGACUUGUAAACUCCUGUAAAGAAGGAAAAAAUUCCCAUUUGAUGGGAGAUGAUGGUACUUCUGGAGUAAGCCCCGGCUAACUACGUGCCAGCAGCCGCGGUAAUACGUAGGGGGCAAGCGUUGUCCGGAUUUACUGGGUGUAAGGGGUGCUCAGGCGGAUUUGUAAGUCAGAGGUGAAAUCUUACAGCUUAACUGUGAAACUGCCUUUGAUACUGCAAGCCUAGAGUAUGGAAGAGAGUGAUGGAAUAUCUGGUGUAGCAGUGAAAUGCGUAGAUAUCAGAUAGAACACCAAUGGCGAAGGCAGUCACUUGGUCCAUUACUGACGCUAAAGCACGAAAGCGUGGGUAGCAAACA
rnacentral:rRNA from 1 species